rnacentral:rRNA from 1 species
AGGACGAACGCUGGCGGCGUGCUUAACACAUGCAAGUCGAGCGGUAAGGCCUUUCGGGGUACACGAGCGGCGAACGGGUGAGUAACACGUGGGUGAUCUGCCCUGCACUCUGGGAUAAGCCUGGGAAACUGGGUCUAAUACCGGAUAUGACCUGCUCUCGCAGUGGGGGGUGGGUGGAAAAGAUUUAGUCGGUGCAGGAUGGGCCCGCGGCCUAUCAGCUUGGUUGGUGGGGUAAUGGCCUACCGAAGGCGACGACGGGUAGCCGACCUGAGAGGGUGACCGGCCACGACGUGGGACUGGAGACACGGCCCAGACUCCGUACGGGAGGCAGCAGGUGGGAAUAGUGCACAAGUGGGACGAAAGCCUAGAUGCAGCCGACGCCGCG